CAAUCAAACCGGGAGAUAGCUGGUUCUCCCCGAAAGCUAUUUAGGUAGCGCCUCGUGAAUUCAUCUCCGGGGGUAGAGCACUGUUUCGGCUAGGGGGCCAUCCCGGCUUACCAACCCGAUGCAAACUGCGAAUACCGGAGAAUGUUAUCACGGGAGACACACGGCGGGUGCUAACGUCCGUCGUGAAGAGGGAAACAACCCAGACCGCCAGCUAAGGUCCCAAAGUCAUGGUUAAGUGGGAAACGAUGUGGGAAGGCCCAGACAGCCAGGAUGUUGGCUUAGAAGCAGCCAUCAUUUAAAGAAAGCGUAAUAGCUCACUGGUCGAGUCGGCCUGCGCGGAAGAUGUAACGGGGCUAAACCAUGCACCGAAGCUGCGGCAGCGAACGUAUCACCCAAGACAACUUUACGGAGUUGACGAUUGACGGAGCGAAGCGACGUCAAAGCGUUCAUUAAAGUCGAGUUGGCUUAGGGAUACGUUCGUUGGGUAGGGGAGCGUUCUGUAAGCCUGUGAAGGUGUGUCGUGAGGC
rnacentral:rRNA from 3 species